CUAUUCCUACGGGAGGCAGCAGUGAGGAAUAUUGGUCAAUGGGCGAGAGCCUGAACCAGCCACGUCGAGUGAGGGAAGACGGUCCUAUGGAUUGUAAACCUCUUUUGUCGGGGAGCAAAAAGGCCUCGUGAGGCCACAAGUGAGAGUACCCGAAGAAAAAGCAUCGGCUAACUCCGUGCCAGCAGCCGCGGUAAUACGGAGGAUGCGAGCGUUAUCCGGAUUUAUUGGGUUUAAAGGGUGCGUAGGCGGGAUGCCAAGUCAGCGGUAAAAAUGCGGUGCUCAACGC
rnacentral:rRNA from 1 species